rnacentral:lncRNA from 1 species
AUGCAGCAGAAGCCCUGUUUCGUUACCCACAGAAGCUGGAAGGAUUCCUUUUUUUAUGCAACCCUCUGUCUCAUGAACACCAAAAUGCUGCCUUCUACCCCACUGUCUAACAGAACUUUGGAUGAAACAGGCUCUUGAAGUCCAUCACCAGAUGUGCCUACAUUCCAGCAGUAAACGUCACUUUUCUGGUUUCUAUAAGAGCUCUUUGAGGUGGUUCUCCAUUGUCCAGCUUGGAGGCCAGAGUGGUUUGGUCAAUAGCCAGGAAGCUGGAAUUCUGCCAAAAGAGUUCAGGUUGGUAAUUUCUGUAAUUUCCUACCAAGUAGUAUUUCCUGAAGGUGAAGGUGAAUUUGAUACCAAGAAAUGGAAGAGGUACAGAGAAAGAUGUGGAAGAGGAGGCAACAUACCUAAAAAGUAUUUAUCCUGUUGAGAUUACAAGAAUUAAAAGGAAAUUUUGCAGCAUUUCCCACCUCUUUGGGUUAGGCUUUCUAAUCUAAUAACCAUUUCUGAAAUGUUGAAAACAGCAUCUGGAAAACUAUUGCCUUGGGCAUUUGGGAAAGAGAGAUCUAGGAAAAGAAAAUACUUCAGGAGAGGUCUAAUGUGAUGGAACAAAUUGAUAUGGAAAAUAAUUCAGGCACCGGUGUUUGGCCUAAAUGAGAGAAGGGAUGGCCUUAUAUGGCAAAACUGGUCUCAAGAAACUUACUGCUGUGCCUCCUAUAGCCGAUCACCAUUCUCCUCCCCUUGCCAGGGGCCCAGAACUUAUCACUCUAGGGAUCUCACUUUUUCCCAGGCCCAACAAUAAUGCUGAAUGCUAUUACUACUUUUUUUGUACAGUAUGACAAAUAUCUAUUUGCGUGGUUAAUUCCCACAUUAGACUAUAAGCCCCUCUCAUUCUGGCAACUUCCUGAAGCAUUUGCAGAUCUUCACAGUCACCCCAGGAGGUGGCUAAAACAAUCUCUUUUAUUUGUUUGUUUACAUAUUUCCUCUCUUCACCAAACUGUACGCACCACUGGUGCCAAGAUCAUGGCUUUAUGGUUCAUUGCUGUAUUCCCAGGGCCUAGAAUAGUUUGACAUACAGUAAAUACCCAGUAAAGAUUGAUUAAAUGAAAAAUGGUUACAGAAUCAUUAACCCCAUUUCUUACAAGAUCAUGUGGCAUAUAAAUGGCAAAGAAAGAUUUGAACAGGAUUCUGCCUGACUUCAAAGGUCACCUGUGUUUAAGUUCUGUGUUGAUUAAUAACUAAAACCUGCUCACUAUCCCAAGGCCAUCAACCAGUCGAUCAACUAAUCAAUAUCAAUCAACUUUACAUAAUGCACAGGCAGAAAAGGAGUUGUAACUGGCACAGCACAUAUUGGUGUAACUUCCAUGUCUUUACCCUGGCAAGUCUCAAGAUCUGAAAUGUUCAGACUACUUAAAGCUCCUCUUAAUAGUCAGUAUUUCUUGAGUGCUUAAUAUGUACCAGAAUUAUUUUAAGAGUUUUAGGUAUUUUAUUAUAUAAUUCUUACUAUACAAUCUGAGGAAAAUAGUAUUUUUAUUAUAGAUGAUGCAUCCGAACACAGAAAAUUUAAAUAAAUUGUACUAUUUCACAUACUAAGAGGAGUAU